CUUUGGAGGCGUCAGCGGUGGUUUCGGUGUUUAUCGUCCAGCGAUGGGACGACGCAUGAGAUGGUGAUUAGGAUAUGUUUCCCAAGCAGGCUCCAUGUAUCUGGCAUCGAACUGCUUGGGUCUAUCUAUUUCAUUAGUGGGUUUGGCUCGGCGUUUCCAUGGUCGGUCGCCACUACUUGUUGGGUUCCUGUGCUUGGUACUGAAUUUCGUAGUUGGAUGGAUUGCUGUUCCCCGUCAUGGUUUUUUGAUCCCCCGCGCUUCACGCGGCGAUGGUGGAUAUUGUGCGGGCAUCGAGGUUUUCCUUUCGAGCCGUUGUCCCCCUUCGGGUGCUCCCGGUUGAGAAGGCACGUAGAUGCUAACGGCACUCUCGGGUACGGAGAUUUUGUGGUUAUCGCAUUGGCCUUCGGCCUUUGCGAUCGUAAUGGAUCGAAGCUUCUCUUGCUUCUGAAUGUAUGACCCUCGUGCUCGUCUAAAGAGUUCACGGUAGCGUCUUCGCUUG
rnacentral:misc_RNA from 1 species